AUUAGAACUCGAACAUUUUUCUCUGUGGACUUUAACUCAAUGUUUCUCUCUACUACCGUCAAACGUACACCUCUGGGUGUUUAUUUUCGUGUUUAACGUGGUUCUCGGUCAAAGACGCUCGAAUAGCAGUUAUGUUUGGAAAAUUGCUCUAAACUUGCCAGAUGUAGAAAGAAAUAACUCCAAAAAAGAUAUCGUUGAAUCGGAC